CAGUCGCCGCGGUAAUACGAAGGGUGCAAGCGUUAAUCGGAAUUACUGGGCGUAAAGCGUGCGUAGGCGGUUUGUUAAGUCUGCUGUGAAAUCCCCGGGCUCAACCUGGGAAUGGCAGUGGAUACUGGCAAGCUAGAGUGUGUCAGAGGAUGGUGGAAUUCCCGGUGUAGCGGUGAAAUGCGUAGAGAUCGGGAGGAACAUCAGUGGCGAAGGCGGCCAUCUGGGACAACACUGACGCUGAGGCACGAAAGCGUGGGGAGCAAACAGGAUUAGAGACCCCGGUAGUCCCUGUCUCUUAUAC
rnacentral:rRNA from 1 species